rnacentral:rRNA from 1 species
UACGUAGGGAGCAAGCGUUGUCCGGAAUCAUUGGGCGUAAAGAGCGUGUAGGCGGUUUGGUAAGUCUGCUGUGAAAGUCCAAGGCUCAACCUUGGGAUGCCGGUGGAUACUGGCGAACUCGAGUCCGGAAGAGGAGUGUGGAAUUCCUGGUGUAGCGGUGAAAUGCGCAGAUAUCAGGAGGAACACCGGUGGCGAAGGCGGAUCUCUGGGCCAUUACUGACGCUGAGGAGCGAAAGCGUGGGGAGCGAACAGG